rnacentral:lncRNA from 1 species
CCCUAAUUUAGGGUUUCAAGUAACAUCUGAUUCUGUUUCUACUGAAUCUGUCUCCAUUAUUGAGAAAAAUGAACUAAUGAUAGAUGUAAUUAACGAUAAUGUCAAAUUAGAAUUAGAUGUUAAGCCUGAGAUGGUGCAGCAGUCGCCCAGCGGUGCCGUCCCUGAUGGUGGUGAAUCACAUCCAAUGGAUGUUGAAGAGCCACUUGACAAUAAUGAUGUGAAAAAUCACCUUGACACAAAAGAUGUUGAAGAGCCACUUGACAAAAAUGAUGUCAAAGAUCACCUUGACAUAAAAGAUGUUGAAGAACCUCAUGACAAAAAACCCCACCUAGAAGACACCGGUGGUAGCGAGGUAGAAAAUGUCGAUAGUCUCAAGAACAUUGAUAGUGGAGACAUAGAUCCACCUGAAAAACUAAGUUUAGAUAGGAGUUC